GACGAACGCUGGCGGCGUGCUUAACACAUGCAAGUCGAACGGAAAGGCCCUGCUUGCAGGGUACUCGAGUGGCGAACGGGUGAGUAACACGUGGGUGAUCUGCCCUGCACUUCGGGAUAAGCCUGGGAAACUGGGUCUAAUACCGGAUAGGAGCCAUUUUUAGUGUGAUGGUUGGAAAGUUUUUUCGGUGUAGGAUGAGCUCGCGGCCUAUCAGCUUGUUGGUGGGGUAAUGGCCUACCAAGGCGGCGACGGGUAGCCGGCCUGAGAGGGUGGACGGCCACAUUGGGACUGAGAUACGGCCCAGACUCCUACGGGAGGCAGCAGUGGGGAAUAUUGCACAAUGGGCGCAAGCCUGAUGCAGCGACGCCGCGUGGGGGAUGACGGCCUUCGGGUUGUAAACUCCUUUCGCUAGGGACGAAGCUUUUUGUGACGGUACCUAGAUAAGAAGCACCGGCUAACUACGCG
rnacentral:rRNA from 1 species